AACAAAAUAAAGGUUAUCUCUCCUUCGAGCCGGAAUCGAACCAGCGACCUAAGGAUGGCCACGGGUGUGCACCUACAGUCCUCCGCUCUACCAGCUGAGCUAUCGAAGGGAGCGAACGAAAUGCCUUGGGUGCCGCCUUCUCUCAUAAUAUUGUGUCAUUUUUAGGCUUCAUGUUUUUAGUAUUGUGUUCUCUCUUCGAUUCCUAGGUUCCGGGAGCACCAGAUACCCCUUCCCGCGGACCUCCCACCUCCUCACUGCAGCGGGUGCGAGCCCUCGGAUCCCAGAAGCUGCCCGGGGCUCUGAGGAGCAGGUCCCGUCUGGCCCCUGGAGCCGGCGCUGGCUCCUGUAUCACUCGGGGGCCCGGGCAAUGACAAAGACGGACUAGAAACACACAGAAGCCGUGACCCGGCAGUCGCUCAGCCGAGCGCAGACCCACAGCUGCGCUGGGAACCUGCCCGAGCAGGUCUCCGAGCGGGGGAAUCGCAAAAAAGAAUUCCCGCGCAGGCUGGGAGGCCCAAAAGGGAUAGAAAGCGCUAGACUUUCCCACUGCUCGUUGAAAUGCAAUGUGACAUUGAAGGAACCCAAAGAAAGGGCCAUAAAUCAUCGGAAGCUGCAAAAACCUACGCUUGUCUCCUUCGAGCCGGAAUCGAACCAGCGACCUAAGGAUGUCUCCUGCUGAGGAAGUAGCUACAGUCCUCCGCUCUACCAGCUGAGCUAUCGAAGGGACGCGUAAUUGCGCCUGCGUCCCUUGAGGUACAACACAGAAAAACCUAAGGGCCCGUCCAAGCAGCCGGAGAUUGCACUGAGCAUGCGUAAUCCGAGGAGCGCAGAGCCCCAGAGCCGGCCUGCGUAGUCUACGCGUGCGCAGAAAGACAGCGCGCCCUGGCUCGCGUGCCUGACUGACCUGGGAGAGGCAAGUGAACCCGUGUCUGGCGCCGGCGGUGCCGAGACCCUGCUACUCCACUGUCGCCCCUUGUCGUACUUUACCAGCCUGCAUUGUCCUUUAAAGUGGUUGCCGAGUGUGUUCUCAACAAGCUGUAAUCCAACCACCAGUAGGACGUUUGGCGUGACGUACCAGUGGCGCAAUGGGCAACGAGUCUGACCGUGGAUCAAAAGAUUGCAGGUUCGGCUCCUGCCUGCCUGGUUUGGCGUUUUUGUCACCUGAGAAUGUGUGCUCCACCAAGAUAGAGAUUUGUGUCUGCUUUGCUUACUGCUGUAUCCUCAGCUCUAGAUCAAUGACUGUCAUGUAGUACAAACUAAAUAAAUAUUUGGUAAAAGAGUAAAUGUGAGCCAGGCACAGUGG